CCUACGGGUGGCAGCAGUGGGGGAUAUUGCACAAUGGGGGAAACCCUGAUGCAGCGACGCCGCGUGAGUGAAGAAGUAUUUCGGUAUGUAAAGCUCUAUCAGCAGGGAAGAAAAUGACAGUACCUGACCAAGCAGCCCCGGCUAACUACGUGCCAGCAGCCGCGGUCAUACGUAGGGGGCAAGCGUUAUCCGGAUUUACUGGGUGUAAAGGGAGCGUAGACGGUUUUGUAAGUCUGGAGUGAAAGCCCGGGGCGCAACCCCGGGACUGCUUUGGAAACUGUGUAACUUGAGUACAGGAGGGGCAGGCGGAAUUCCUGGUGUAGCGGUGAAAUGCGUAGAUAUCAGGAGGAACACCGGCGGCGAAGGCGGCCUUCUGGACUGAAACUGACGUUGAGGUUCGAAAGCGUGGGGAGCAAACAGGAUUAGAUACCCUAGUAGUC
rnacentral:rRNA from 1 species